AGCUCCAAGAGCGUAUAUUAAAGUUGUUGCAGUUAAAAAGCUCGUAGUUGGAUUUCUGGUUUGAGCGUCCGGUCCGUCUCCUUUGGAGAUGUGUUACUAUGGAUGUUUGAACCAUUUUUUGUGAGGAUGUUUUUCUGCCAUUAAGUUGGUGGUUGAAUAGACUUGCAUCGUUUACUGUGAAAAAAUUAGAGUGUUUAAAGCAGGCGUUUGCUCAUUGAAUACAUUAGCAUGGAAUAAUAAGAUACGACCUUGGUGGUCUAUUUUGUUGGUUUGCACACCAGGGUAAUGAUUAAUAGGGACAGUUGGGGGUAUUCAUAUUUCAGAGUCAGAGGUGAAAUUCUUGGAUAGCUGAAAGAUGAGCUUAGGCGAAAGCAUUUACCAAGGAUGUUUUCAUUA
rnacentral:rRNA from 1 species